AUGCCACCGUGUGAAGAUAAAUUUGUUAAUCUGAAGGACGUUCGAGCUACAGGAUUCAGAGGGGCACGCGGCCAAGCUGAAUUCCUUAUGCACGUGGUUGAAAAUGCUCCUGCAAUAGAGGUCGUGACUGUAGAUACAGCUCAAAGGCUAACUGAUGCUUGGGAUCCAGAUGAACCAAUUCCUAGACUAGAUAGUGCUGCUCUUGAUAUGACUGUGUCUACUGUGUCUGCAUCUUACUCCGUUGAUUCGUUUCGGGAUACAAAGGGGGAAAUAGCGCUACGAGAGAAGAACUACAAGUACGAGUUUUUGGCUAGGAAGUUCCCACCGCAGCUCAUAUGGCAGAGGCUCCUUGAGCAGAUCUAG
rnacentral:rRNA from 1 species